rfam:Oryza meridionalis cultivar OR44 (W2112) chromosome 7, whole genome shotgun sequence.
AAUAAGUACAGUUUUAUAUCGGUCAUGUUCAACAUUUGACCGUUUAUCUUAUUUAAAAUUUUUUUGUGAUUAAUAUUUUUAUUGUUAUUAGAUGAUAAAAUAUGAAUAAUAUUUUGUGUGACUAUUUUUUUUUAAUUUUUUCAUAAAUUUUUUAAAUAAUACGGAUAGUCAAACGUUAGACACAGAUACUAAUGGCUGCACUUAUU